CGAAAACCGUUCCCAGUACCACCGUCUCAGCAUAUACGGAGAUUCCGACGAACCCCACCACUUGUCGGAAUGCGAAAACUGUGGCUUCAUUACCCCGGUGUUUGAUUAAGGACAUCGCAGUUCCUCGAAAAAAAAAAAA